rnacentral:rRNA from 1 species
UACGUAGGGAGCAAGCGUUGUCCGGAAUCAUUGGGCGUAAAGAGCGCGUAGGUGGCUUUAUAAGUCCGUUGUGAAAGUCAAAGGCUCAACCUUUGAAAGCCGAUGGAUACUGUGAAGCUAGAGUACGGAAGAGGCGAGUGGAAUUCCUGGUGUAGCGGUGAAAUGCGCAGAUAUCAGGAGGAACACCAAUGGCGAAGGCAGCUCGCUGGAACGGUACUGACGCUGAGGCGCGAAAGCGUGGGGAGCAAACAGG